GGCAAUGUCAAUGGAGGAGUACUUAGUUGGCAUCAGCAAGAGAUGCUGUGGUACCAAACUCAUCCAUAUUAGCCAGAGGGAGAUCAUUUCUGACUACACACGGGGGAAGCGUGUUCAGACACAGGACAACAAGGGGGGACACUGGUGUUAAAGCGCCACAGACAAUAGGCAGAUGAAAAAUGAACACAACAACAGUCUGGUGUCUGUCACCAGUCUAGCUUCCUCUUCCUGCACCCUACCUUCACCUACACGGCCGGACUGGCUCCUGCAGACGGCUCAAGAUACCCUAUGAGGAGUAAAACAGAUUUCUGCAUUGCUCAAAGCUUACUUGUAGAGCCUGCCAGCUCCUGGAAGCUGCGGAUGGACAUUGCGGCACGCUCUCCUUUCUGUUUCUGUCAUUGGCCUCCCAUCAACAUCCAGAAGGGCCACUGGCUGGAAGCAGGGCUUCAGCCUUGUGGGGUCGCUGUAGGCGCUACAGUUCUAAUGAAUGGGCUCAACUUUAAUGACCUUCAAA
rnacentral:lncRNA from 1 species